UCCGGCGACCUAGGUCUCAUCUUAACUCCUUGUGCUCGGCACAGUGUGGGGAGCAGUGGUGGGGAUCAAUGUGGAAGGGAGAAAUACACACUGAUUAAAGAAAAGAAUUCGGUAGGUGAAGCGCACAUAGGUGAUAACCAGUGUCGCGGAAGAAUGCAGCGUGCGGGCCUGUACAGAACCCGACAGUCUGAAUUGGUGUGUGCUGCUUGAGGCAGCAGCCCGUUACGUUAAUUUGGAAACUCCCUCUCUCGUUUUUAAGCUUCCUGAAUCUGCCAGCACAGUCAUUUGGUGUCAGAGGCAGGACAGAGCCACCUAGGUCAUCCCCCUUGGUUCAGUGUAAACUGAAGCGUAAGUGAGAGGAGACAGGCUGGAAGUCACAAAGCUUGUUGGUGAUCGAGCCUGGACUACAAGUAGUAUUUCUUCAUUUUCCAUCCCAGAACUCGUUUCUUCACCUAGUACUCGCUCUCUGGCUUGAUAAACAAUUCAUCUUUUGCGGGGAGUGAGGAAGAGUGAAGAGAAUGACGACAUCAAAGGCAAAGUCAGUAUUGUAUCGGAGUUAGAAUGUGUCAUUUAUCUACAUUUUCGAUAACUCUGUGGAUGGAAAGGAGUCAUGUCGCUUCUGUUUUUUCCUGUUCAGCAACGUAUAAGGAAUAACAAAAUGUGAAGAUGGAACUUCUAUUACCUGUUACACACCUUUACAUAGAAAGGCCUGGGUGGGGUUCAUAGAUAUGUGUUCACCCUGAAAGAAUAGCUAUCAGUCAUCUGAGCUCUCACUAUGAAUAUUUGCUGUAAUAACCUGUGGAGGUAUUUACCCACAUCAUCUGCAUCAGAAACCAGCUACAAGGAACUUGUAAAUUCCCCACAAGUCCAGGACCUGUAUUUAUUCCAGGCAUAAGGAACACAAAUGGAUAUCCCUCAAGUGUACUGGAAUAGAAGGUAUCUGAGCUCUAUGAAAGCAGAACACUUUUGUUUCUGUGUACUGCUCCUUCAGAAAUUAUGGAGGCACAAUUCCUGCCUGUGAUUUGCUUAUGGUCAAGUGAAGUAGAUGCAGGUCAAUAGCUGGAGUGUAGCCACUUAAGUAUUCUAAAAAAGAUUUAUCAGCAGGUUGCUGGUGGACGUGGCCUUGAGGUAAAUCCUGCCCCUUGUUGAAAUUUAGUUGCAGCAGAUUAUUCAUGGUAUUUUAAGGAACUGGAAUAUCUUACAAAGAAAAGUUUUAUUGUUUU